AUUUCUAUCCCAUUUUCCCCAUUAUUUCCCCAUUUCUAUCCCGUUUUCCCCAUUAAUUCCCCGUUUCCCACAUCCCAGGGGUCGGAAGUUGACUCCGCAGGGGCAGCGGGACCUGGAUCGCAUCGCGGGGCAGGUGGCCGCCGCCAGCAAGAAGCACUGAGGGAGCCAAUAAACCCUGAACCCCCCUGA